UACGUAGGGCGCAAGCGUUGUCCGGAAUUAUUGGGCGUAAAGAGCUCGUAGGCGGCUUGUCACGUCGGGUGUGAAAGCCCGGGGCUUAACCCCGGGUCUGCAUUCGAUACGGGCAGGCUAGAGUGUGGUAGGGGAGAUUGGAAUUCCUGGUGUAGCGGUGAAAUGCGCAGAUAUCAGGAGGAACACCGGUGGCGAAGGCGGAUCUCUGGGCCAUUACUGACGCUGAGGAGCGAAAGCGUGGGGAGCGAACAGG
rnacentral:rRNA from 1 species